rnacentral:tRNA from 1 species
GGGAAUAUGGCUUAGUAGUAGAGUGCUUGCCUUACAUGCAUGAAGCCCUGGGUUUGAUUCCUCAGUACCA